CUUAUCAAGAGCGGCGGAGGAAACAGGUCCUGUGAAGCCCGGCAACCUGAUUUAUCAAGGUGCUAAAUCCUGCGGUUUUAUCCGGAAGAUGAGG
rnacentral:ncRNA from 1 species